GAGUGUUGAAAAUCCAAGUGCUGCUUUCACGGUAUGGUGUUUGUAUAGGAUGCAUAUUUUGCAAGAAAUUUGCGGUAUUUAAAACAAUCGUGCUUGUUGCAACAUCGGCAAGCGUAGAAAAAUUGACUAUUUGAACUACUUUGAGACUGAACUUGUAACAAAUUUUUUCAAUGAACACGAAAUGCAGCAGCCAACAAAUUCGCAUGAUUGCAAACAAUUUUCCACUUACCGGUAAAUUUAAUAUCAGGCUUCAAAGACAUUGCGGCUCGUGGAUAUAGAUCGAAUUCACGGUGAAUAGCUUUCCACACAGAUAACAUGGAAACAAUGGUGAUCUUACUCCUGAAGUUGGUCGGUCAUCUUUGCUGCUUUUGGGGGCCGGAGAUGAUGAACUUUGAGGCGUUUCUUCAACGGGAGACCGUAAUGGUUCUCGGUUAGGUGGCCGAUGUUGGUUUUUAGCUGAAACCAAGACAAAACUUUAUUGGUAGCUUCUUUAAAGAUGCUUGUUACAUACACACUAUAAACAAAUAAAAGCGAGCUUAAAAUAGUUGAAAGUUGCAACAAA